UGGUUGUCGUCAGAACGAGUCGUGAGAUGUUGGGUUAAGUCCCGCAACGAGCGCAACCCUUGAUCUUAGUUGCCAGCAUUCAGUUGGGCACUCUCAGGUGACUGCCGGUGACAAACCGGAGGAAGGUGGGGAUGACGUCAAAUCAUCAUGCCCCUUAUGACCUGGGCUACACACGUGCUACAAUGGACAAUACAAAGGGGUGCGAGACCGCGAGGUGGAGCAAAUCCCAUAAAAUUGUUCUCAUUUCGGAUUGCAGGCUGCAACUCGCCUGCAUGAAGCCGGAAUCUCUAGUAAUCUCGGAUCAC
rnacentral:rRNA from 1 species